rnacentral:miRNA from 1 species
AUACUAGACUGUGAGCUCCUCGA